rnacentral:rRNA from 1 species
GACGUAGGGCGCGAGCGUUGUCCGGAUUUAUUGGGCGUAAAGAGCUCGUAGGCGGCUUGUCGCGUCGACUGUGAAAACCCGUGGCUCAACCAUGUGGUCUGCAGUCGAUACGGGCAGGCUAGAAUUCGGUAGGGGAGACUGGAAUUCCUGGUGUGGCGGUGAAAUGCGCAGAUAUCAGGAGGAACACCGGUGGCGAAGGCGGGUCUCUGGGCCGAUAUUGACGCUGAGGAGCGAAAGCGUGGGGAGCGAACAGG